GCUCAGAUUGAACGCUGGCGGCAGGCCUAACACAUGCAAGUCGAGCGGUAACACAGAGAGCUUGCUCUCGGGUGACGAGCGGCGGACGGGUGAGUAAUGUCUGGGAAACUGCCUGAUGGAGGGGGAUAACUACUGGAAACGGUAGCUAAUACCGCAUAACGUCGCAAGACCAAAGUGGGGGACCUUCGGGCCUCAUGCCAUCAGAUGUGCCCAGAUGGGAUUAGCUAGUAGGUGGGGUAAUGGCUCACCUAGGCGACGAUCCCUAGCUGGUCUGAGAGGAUGACCAGCCACACUGGAACUGAGACACGGUCCAGACUCCUACGGGAGGCAGCAGUGGGGAAUAUUGCACAAUGGGCGCAAGCCUGAUGCAGCCAUGCCGCGUGUAUGAAGAAGGCCUUCGGGUUGUAAAGU
rnacentral:rRNA from 1 species